GAAAGGGAAGAGGAAGGAAGUCUUCCCUACUGCUUUAUUGGAGAAGCUCUGAUCUUUUCCAUUGCCAUUGCUUUUGAACUUUUGUCUCUUUCAGGCUUCGGACAAAAUUCUUUAGCCUUCCAACAUGGACCCUUCAGCUUUUAGACUCGGACUCACACGAGACUUUGCGCUUUUUAAUUCACAGUCCUGAACACCCCCAAAUGGCCAAGUCUGUUUCCAGUUGGAAGUCACUCAAUAAAGGCAUCUGUGAAGAAAACCAAGGACUUUAGAAAGACAUCGAAGCAAAACCACUCUACUCCAGGAAGGGAUCCAAGGCAAGUGGAAGAGGAUGGGACCUGUCCCACCAUCCCCUUCCAGGGCAGCCUCAGUGAUGCUAAAAGUCUCACCCCUUCUCAGUCCCAUCACCUAGGGAGCAGCAUGGGGGACACUUAAGACCCCAACUAUAGCACUAUGGUCCCAUCUAGUUCUUUUAAAAACAGCAGUAUUCUAAACCACCAAAGACUUUCUUCUGGAGAGACAUGUUUUAAAUCUCUUUU